rnacentral:rRNA from 1 species
GAGAAUGUGCCUUCGGGAACCGUGAGACAGGUGCUGCAUGGCUGUCGUCAGCUCGUGUUGUGAAAUGUUGGGUUAAGUCCCGCAACGAGCGCAACCCUUAUCCUUUGUUGCCAGCGGUCCGGCCGGGAACUCAAAGGAGACUGCCAGUGAUAAACUGGAGGAAGGUGGGGAUGACGUCAAGUCAUCAUGGCCCUUACGACCAGGGCUACACACGUGCUACAAUGGCGCAUACAAAGAGAAGCGACCUCGCGAGAGCAAGCGGACCUCAUAAAGUGCGUCGUAGUCCGGAUUGGAGUCUGCAACUCGACUCCAUGAAGUCGGAAUCGCUAGUAAUCGUGGAUCAGAAUGCCACGGUGAAUACGUUCCCGGGCCUUGUACACACCGCCCGUCACACCAUGGGAGUGGGUUGCAAAAGAAGUAGGUAGCUUAACCUUCGGGAGGGCGCUUACCACUUUGUGAUUCAUGACUGGGGUGAAGUCGUAACAAGGUAACCGUAGGGGAACCUGCGGUUGGAUCACCUCCUUACCUUAAAGAA